rnacentral:rRNA from 1 species
AUUGAACGCUGGCGGCAUGCUUUACACAUGCAAGUCGAACGGUAACAGGUUAAGCUGACGAGUGGCGAACGGGUGAGUAAUGCAUCGGAACGUGCCCGGUCGUGGGGGAUAACGCAGCGAAAGCUGCGCUAAUACCGCAUACGAUCUAAGGAUGAAAGCGGGGGACCGUAAGGCCUCGCGCGAUCGGAGCGGCCGAUGUCAGAUUAGGUAGUUGGUGGGGUAAAGGCUCACCAAGCCAACGAUCUGUAGCUGGUCUGAGAGGACGACCAGCCAAACGGGGACUGAGACAAGGCCCAGACUCCUACGGGAGGCAGCAGUGGGGAAUUUUGGACAAUGGGCGAAAGCCUGAUCCAGCAAUGCCGCGUGCAGGAAGAAGGCCUUCGGGUUGUAAACUGCUUUUGUACAGAGCGAAAAGGUCUCCUCUAAUACAGUUUGCUAAUGACGGUACCGUAAGAAUAAGCACCGGCUAACUACGUGCCAGCAGCCGCCGUAA